GACGAACGCUGGCGGCGUGCCUAAUACAUGCAAGUAGAACGCACAGUUUAUACCGUAGCUUGCUACACCAUAGACUGUGAGUUGCGAACGGGUGAGUAACGCGUAGGUAACCUGCCUGGUAGCGGGGGAUAACUAUUGGAAACGAUAGCUAAUACCGCAUAAUAUUAAUUAUUGCAUGAUAAUUAAUUGAAAGGUGCAAUUGCACCACUACCAGAUGGACCUGCGUUGUAUUAGCUAGUAGGUGAGGUAACGGCUCACCUAGGCGACGAUACAUAGCCGACCUGAGAGGGUGAUCGGCCACACUGGGACUGAGACACGGCCCAGACUCCUACGGGAGGCAGCAGUAGGGAAUCUUCGGCAAUGGACGAAAGUCUGACCGAGCAACGCCGCGUGAGUGAAGAAGGUUUUCGGAUCGUAAAGCUCUGUUGUAAGAGCAGAACGGGUGUGAGAGUGGAAAGUUCACACUGUGACGGUAUCUUACCAGAAAGGGACGGCUAACUACGUG
rnacentral:rRNA from 1 species